AGCCCUGAGGUGUUCCAUAUCAAAAUGCAAAUUUGAAGAAGAGCCCUAAAAGGCU
rnacentral:tRNA from 1 species